rnacentral:rRNA from 1 species
GACGAACGCUGGCGGCGUGCCUAAUACAUGCAAGUGGGACGCAAGGAAACACACUGUGCUUGCACACCGUGUUUUCUUGAGUCGCGAACGGGUGAGUAACGCGUAGGUAACCUGCCUAUUAGCGGGGGAUAACUAUUGGAAACGAUAGCUAAUACCGCAUCAUAUUAAUUAUUGCAUGAUAAUUGAUUGAAAGAUGCAAGCGCAUCACUAGUAGAUGGACCUGCGUUGUAUUAGCUAGUUGGUAAGGUAAGAGCUUACCAAGGCGACGAUACAUAGCCGACCUGAGAGGGUGAUCGGCCAGACUGGGACGGAGACACGGCCCAGACUCCUACGGGAGGCAGCAGUAGGGAAUCUUCGGCAAUGGACGAAAGUCUGACCGAGCAACGACGAGGGAGUGGAGAAGGUUUUCGGAUCGGAAAGCUCAGUUGUAAGUCAAGAACGUGUGUGAGAGUGGAAAGUUCACACAGUGACGGUAGCUUACCAGAAAGGGACGGCUAACUACGUG